rnacentral:lncRNA from 1 species
UCAGAUACAAUUCUCAUACCCCACUGACCAACUUUUCUUCUACCUCAACCUGAUUGGUCAAAUGGGUAAUACAUUGAAUGUAAAAGAAUUAAAUCAAAUGGAGAUAAAUGAAACCUAAAAUAAACCAGAACAAAGCUUCAAACAAAAAACCAAAAUAAAUAGUAAAGAAACUAUGAGAAACAAACCAUCUUUCUCUCCAUUUUACAUUCUCAAUUGGUACAUCAGUGAUUAAUUGAGUAGAUCCUUUUUUCUUCCUUCGAUUGCAGGUGUGAUUCCGUGUGCAGCUCGAUCCCUCCAUGUCGGUCUGAAUUCAUCGGAGUCUAGAUGGUUGUAGUUCUUCUGGUCUCAGAAAAUUCAUUUCUCAAUCCUCUUCUUGUAGUCCGUAUCGUUCUUGAUCUGUUAUUUUUUCCACUCUUGUUGGGCCUUUUCGAUCCAGUACAUGGGGGUGUCGUAUCGCCUUCCCUCCUUUGGCAAGCCAUGUGCUACUUCGUUUACUUUCCGAGGUACAUGUUGAAACUCUAUGUUGUCAAUCUUCGAAUUAUUUCUUUUAAUUCUUUCACUAGAAUGUUGAUGUUUGAUUUAUCCUCCUCAAUGACCUUACUUUCUUAAUAACAGUUAAGGCGUCCCCUUCUACCAAUAUCUUCUUAAAACCCAAUUCUUUUGCAAAACUUAAGGCUUGCAAACAUGCUCACGUUUCUGCCUAGGUUGAGUCUUACACAUGUUCAUUCAGGUGAUUACACGCUGCCAUACCAAUACCUUCCCUGUUUUUAAUUAAGAUCCCUGAAACCGAUCUAUUUGAUUGUUGAUGAAAUGAAGCGUUAAAAUUUACUUUAAUGUUUUUGCCAUCUGGCGGCUCCCAUUUGGUUGCUCUUGGGUUUUGCAUUGGUACUGCUAUAUCUUCUAAUUUCUCCGUUUUUGAAAUAUAAGUAUUGAUAAACGCUAAUAAUUCAUGCAUAUUUUUCCUUCCACCUUUAUGAUAUAUUUUGUUUCGAUUGUGCCACAGUGUCUAAUAGAUGAUUGCUACUUUUUUCACAUAGGUUGACUAUUGUUUACAAAUUCCCUUACUAACUAAAUUUUCCAAAUUUGCUCUCUAUUUGUGGUUGAGAACGCCACACUGAGUCUAUGCAGGAUUUACCGAGUGAAUGGGCAUUAACAAAACAAGUGCUCUAUUGAUUCCUCUUCAGAUUGGCAGACAAGACAAAGGCUUUCUACUGCAAGCCUUGUUGUUUGUAAAAUUUUUAAAGUAAGAAUAUAUAAAUUGGCUAUUUUCCACAUUGCAAUCCUGAUUUUGUUUGUGAUAUUUAAAUUCCACAACUUUGUAUAGAAGGCUUUUAGUGUUGUAGAAUGUGUUGGGCAACCAUCUCUUAAUUAACCCAAGUCCUCAGUCACAAGUAAUUUGUCUCCACGCCACACCACUUCAUCUGUUUGUACACUAUUAGAGAGAAGGAUUGCCAAUGUCCUUUUCACCUAUUCUUUAUCUAAUAAUGACUUUAAUACAUCAGAUUUCCAGGUAAUGAUGUUUGUAUCAAUUAAAGUUGAAACAAUUGUGUAAUUUAUGUUGAUGUUCUGAGCUUACGAUCUCCCUAGACUAGGUCUCGGUAACCAAGAAUCAUUCCAGAGAUUAAUUGUUGCUUCAUUGUCAACUUUCUAACUUGUGCCUCGCUUGAUUAGUCUUUGGGCACUCUAUAUGCUACACUAGGAAUAAG